GUAGCUCAGUGGGUAGAGCGCUUGCCUAGUAGGCAUGAAGCCCAGGAUUAACCCCUGGC
rnacentral:tRNA from 1 species